CAGUCGCCGCGGUAAUACGUAGGUGGCAAGCGUUGUCCGGAAUUAUUGGGCGUAAAGGGCUCGCAGGCGGUUUCUUAAGUCUGAUGUGAAAGCCCCCGGCUUAACCGGGGAGGGUCAUUGGAAACUGGGAGACUUAGAGUGCAGAAGAGGAGAGUGGAAUUCCACGUGUAGCGGUGAAAUGCGUAGAGAUGUGGAGGAACACCAGUGGCGAAGGCGACUCUCUGGUCUGUAACUGACGCUGAGGAGCGAAAGCGUGGGGAGCGAACAGGAUUAGAUACCCGCGUAGUCCCUGUCUCUUAUA
rnacentral:rRNA from 1 species